AGUUCCAUUCUCCAAAUACCAGAUUCCUAAUCCUGUCAGUCAUUAGAAGCAUUCAAAGAAUGCACAUGCUUCCACUCAGACACCAACAAUCAUAUUUUAACCACCCAGUUGUUGACAAUUAUGUGAAAGCUAAGGGGAAGUUUAACAUUUUCUCCUACAUAAACCCAGUCAGUUUGUCUAUGACAGAAUUACUUUAUUGAAGUACUCAGGCAUGCACAAAUGGAAUGCACUGUUUUUCUAACUGCAAAUUUCUCAACCAGUGGAAAAAAACCUGACUCGAUCGAGUACAGCACUUCAGCAUUUUUCCCUUUGUCCUUGUCCAGAGCCGUCACCUGCAACACAACUGAGCCAACGGCUGCCGAUUCAUAAACCCGCCCUUUGUAGGAGGAAGCGGUGAACCACGGGGCGUGGUCAUUCGUGUCGCUGACAUUGACCACAAUCCUUGCAAAGUUGCGUUUUACAGGCACAUCUUGAUCACCAUGACCGUGAGGGUGUGCUGGUGAACGGCUUCGUGAUCCAGUUUCCCAGAAGUAUAGAGAGAGCCGGUUGCAGGAUCAAGACGAAAUUUCUUGAGACUCAAUGGAUCUCUACUGCUCUGCAGAGUGUAGAUUAGUUUGUUUUUCUCAUCCUGAUCCACGGCACUGAUUUGCAAAAUUUCUGUUUCUGGCGCUGUAUCUUCAGGAAUAAUAACUUCAUACUUUGAUGUAGAAAACUGAGGACGAUGGUCAUUUGUGUCUAUUACUUUGAUGA
rnacentral:lncRNA from 1 species